rnacentral:rRNA from 1 species
AACGAACGCUGGCGGCAUGCCUAACACAUGCAAGUCGAACGAGACCUUCGGGUCUAGUUGCGCACGGGUGCGUAACGCGUGGGAACCUGCCCUUAGGUUCGGAAUAACUCCCCGACAGGGGUGCUAAUACCGGAUAAUGUCUUCGGACCAAAGAUUUAUCGCCUUUGGAUGGGCCCGCGUUGGAUUAGCUAGUUGGUAGGGUAAAAGCCUACCAAGGCGACGAUCCAUAGCUGGUCUGAGAGGAUGAUCAGCCACACUGGGACUGAGACACGGCCCAGACUCCUACGGGAGGCAGCAGUGCGUAAUAUUGGACAACGGGCGAAGUCCUGAUCCAGCAAUGCCGCGUGAGUGAUGAAGUUCUUAGGGUUGUAAAGCUCUUUUAACCGGGAUGAUAAUGACAGUACCGGGAGAAUAAGCCCCGGCUAACUCCGUG